rnacentral:rRNA from 1 species
GGGCCCGCACAAGCGGUGGAGUAUGUGGUUUAAUUCGAUGCAACGCGAAGAACCUUACCUACCCUUGACAUGUCAGGAAUUUUGCAGAGAUGCGAAAGUGCUCGAAAGAGAACCUGAACACAGGUGCUGCAUGGCUGUCGUCAGCUCGUGUCGUGAGAUGUUGGGUUAAGUCCCGCAACGAGCGCAACCCUUGUCAUUAGUUGCUACGCAAGGGCACUCUAAUGAGACUGCCGGUGACAAACCGGAGGAAGGUGGGGACGACGUCAAGUCCUCAUGGCCCUUAUGGGUAGGGCUUCACACGUCAUACAAUGGUUGGUACAGAGGGUCGCGAACCCGCGGAGGGGAGCUAAUACCCAAAAAACCAAUCGUAGUCCGGAUUGCAGUCUGCAACUCGACUGCAUGAAGUCGGAAUCGCUAGUAAUCGC